ACUUAAAUUGAAGAGUUUGAUCAUGGCUCAGAUUGAACGCUGGCGGCAGGCCUAACACAUGCAAGUCGAGCGGUAGCACAGAGAGCUUGCUCUCGGGUGACGAGCGGCGGACGGGUGAGUAAUGUCUGGGAAACUGCCUGAUGGAGGGGGAUAACUACUGGAAACGGUAGCUAAUACCGCAUAACGUCGCAAGACCAAAGUGGGGGACCUUCGGGCCUCAUGCCAUCAGAUGUGCCCAGAUGGGAUUAGCUAGUAGGUGGGGUAACGGCUCACCUAGGCGACGAUCCCUAGCUGGUCUGAGAGGAUGACCAGCCACACUGGAACUGAGACACGGUCCAGACUCCUACGGGAGGCAGCAGUGGGGAAUAUUGCACAAUGGGCGCAAGCCUGAUGCAGCCAUGCCGCGUGUGUGAAGAAGGCCUUCGGGUUGUAAAGCACUUUCAGCGGGGAGGAAGGCGGUGAGGUUAAUAACCUCAUCGAUUGACGUUACCCGCAGAAGAAGCACCGGCUAACUCCGUGCCAGCAGCCGCGGUAAUACGGAGGGUGCAAGCGUUAAUCGGAAUUACUGGGCGUAAAGCGCACGCAGGCGGUCUGUCAAGUCGGAUGUGAAAUCCCCGGGCUCAACCUGGGAACUGCAUUCGAAACUGGCAGGCUAGAGUCUUGUAGAGGGGGGUAGAAUUCCAGGUGUAGCGGUGAAAUGCGUAGAGAUCUGGAGGAAUACCGGUGGCGAAGGCGGCCCCCUGGACAAAGACUGACGCUCAGGUGCGAAAGCGUGGGGAGCAAACAGGAUUAGAUACCCUGGUAGUCCACGCCGUAAACGAUGUCGAUUUGGAGGUUGUGCCCUUGAGGCGUGGCUUCCGGAGCUAACGCGUUAAAUCGACCGCCUGGGGAGUACGGCCGCAAGGUUAAAACUCAAAUGAAUUGACGGGGGCCCGCACAAGCGGUGGAGCAUGUGGUUUAAUUCGAUGCAACGCGAAGAACCUUACCUGGUCUUGACAUCCACAGAACUUUCCAGAGAUGGAUUGGUGCCUUCGGGAACUGUGAGACAGGUGCUGCAUGGCUGUCGUCAGCUCGUGUUGUGAAAUGUUGGGUUAAGUCCCGCAACGAGCGCAACCCUUAUCCUUUGUUGCCAGCGGUUAGGCCGGGAACUCAAAGGAGACUGCCAGUGAUAAACUGGAGGAAGGUGGGGAUGACGUCAAGUCAUCAUGGCCCUUACGACCAGGGCUACACACGUGCUACAAUGGCAUAUACAAAGAGAAGCGACCUCGCGAGAGCAAGCGGACCUCAUAAAGUAUGUCGUAGUCCGGAUUGGAGUCUGCAACUCGACUCCAUGAAGUCGGAAUCGCUAGUAAUCGUAGAUCAGAAUGCUACGGUGAAUACGUUCCCGGGCCUUGUACACACCGCCCGUCACACCAUGGGAGUGGGUUGCAAAAGAAGUAGGUAGCUUAACCUUCGGGAGGGCGC
rnacentral:rRNA from 1 species